ACAAAUUCGUUGAUGAGAAAAAGUAGCGUUUCGUUUUGAUCCCCAGAGAGCUGACAAUCGGUGCAAGUCAGUGUUCAAAAGUUACGUGAAAAAUCCUCUCUGAGAAGUUAGGCUGAAAUUAAGUAAGUCUGACCGGGAGUCUACCGUUAAAAGGACCGCGUAUGAUUGUACGUUGCUAAGUGCUAUUGAGCGGAUCAAUAGAAUUAGGGUGGUAUCGCGGGUUAACCCCGUCCCUUCU
rnacentral:ncRNA from 1 species